rnacentral:rRNA from 1 species
CCAGAGUUUGAUCCUGGCUCAAAACGAACGCUGGCGGCGUGGCUAAGGCAUGCGAGUCGUACGGACCGUUUAUUUGGGUAACUAAGUGGACGGUUAGUGGCGGACGGGUCAGUAAUGCAUGGGUAACGUACCUCGGACACAGGGAUAGUGGCGGGCUUCGGCCCUUUAGCGAAAGUGCCGGUAAUACCUGAUAACAUCCAUGGAUGGCAUCUUCCGUGGAUCAAAGGGUGGGGACCUUCGGGCCUACUGGUCUGAGAGCGGCUCAUGUCCUAUCAGUUUGUUGGUGGGGUAACGGCCUACCAAGACAGAGACGGGUAGCGGGACUGAGAGGUCGGCCCGCGACAUCGGGACUGAGACACUGCCCGGACACCUACGGGUGGCUGCAGCAACGAAUAUUCCGCAAUGGGCGCAAGCCUGACGGAGCGACGCCGCGUAUGGGAUGAAGUCCUUCGGGAUGUAAACCGUAAUAGUUUGUCAGCAAGCAAUCCGGGUUAAUACCCCGGGGCGUUGAGCAGCAGACGAAAGGGGCGGCUAACUCCGUGCCAGCAGCCGCGGUAAGACGGAGGCCCCGAGCGUUGUUCGGAAUCACUGGGCUUAAAGCGCGUGUAGGCGGGUCGGCGCGUACCUUGUGAAAGCCCUCGGCUCAACAGAGGAAUUGCUGGGUAUACGGCCGGUCUUGAGGCAGGUAGAGGCACCUGGAACSUYAGGUGGAGCGGUGAAAUGCGUAGAUAUCUAASGGAAUGCCUGUGGCGAAAGCGGGGUGCUGGGCCUGUCCUGACGCUGAGACGCGAAAGCGUAGGGAGCAAACGGGAUUAGAUACCCCGGUAGUCUACGCUGUAAACGAUGCGCACUAGGUACGAGGGUCUCUGACGGCAAUCGUGCCGAAGCUAAAGUGAUUAGUGCGCCGCCUGGGGAGUACGGCCGCAAGGCUAAAACUCAAAGGAAUUGACGGGGGCUCACACAAGCGGUGGAGCAUGUGGAUCAAUUCGAAGCAACGCGAAGAACCCUACCUGGGUUUGACAUGCACGGAUGCUCUUCCUGAAAGGGGAGUAGGCUGCCUUCGGGUGAAACGUGCACAGGUGCUGCAUGGCUGUCGUCAGCUCGUGCUGUGAAGUGUCGGGUUAAGUCCCAUAACGAGCGAAACCCUUGUCGCUAGUUGCCAGCGGGUCAUGCCGGGGACUCUAGCGAGACUGCCGGUGUCAAACCGGAGGAAGGUGGGGACGACGUCAAGUCAUCAUGGCCUUUAUGCCCAGGGUGUCACACGUGCUACAAUGGGGCGGUACAGAGCGAAGCGAAGCCGCGAGGCCAAGCAAAUCGCAUAAAACGCCUCUCAGUUCGGAUUGGGGUCUGCAACCCGACCCCAUGAAGCUGGAAUCGCUAGUAAUCGCGUAUCAGCCAUGACGCGGUGAAUAUGUUCCUGAGCCUUGUACACACCGCCCGUCAAGUCAUGGAAGCCGGGAAUACCCGAAGUCCCACCUUGCGUGGGCCGACGGUAGGCUCGGUGACUGGGAGUAAGUCGUAACAAGGCAACCGU